rnacentral:misc_RNA from 1 species
AAGAGACGUUGCCCUUCGGGGUAUACCUCCCACCCUUUGUUUAUUAUACCUUUGUUGCUUUGGCGGGCCCGUCCUCGGACCACCGGCUUCUGCUGGUCAGUGCCCGCCAGAGGACCUAAAACUCUGUUUGGUUAAUAUUGUCUGAGUACUAUAUAAUAGUUA